rnacentral:rRNA from 1 species
UACGGAGGUGGCAAGCGUUGCUCGGAAUCACUGGGCGUAAAGGGCGCGUAGGCGGGGGGGUAAGUGGGAUGUGAAAUCCCUCGGCUCACCCGAGGACCUGCAUCCCAAACUGCUUGGCUUGAGCAUGGGAGAGGAUGAGGGAAUUCCUGGUGUAGCGGUGAAAUGCGCAGAUAUCAGGAAGAACACCUAUGGCGAAGGCAGCUCUCUGGGACGGUACUGACGCUGAGACGCGAAAGCGUGGGGAGCGAACAGG